CGCGGGCCGCCCUCGUUUGCCGCGAGCGGCUUUUGCGCCCCGACGUGCCGCUGCGCGCCGCUCUCUGCCGAGGCCGGACGCGGCUGCGCUCCUGAAGCCAGUGAAGGAGAAACAGCAGUCUGAGAUGAAACAACACUCAACAAAACCUCAUCAAAUGCUUUCAGAGAUCUCUGAAAAAAAGUACUGUUGUGCUUAAAAAUUGAAUAUUAUCUGCUACUCAACUUUAUUUUCAUUUGGAACCUGACUGUCCCAUUCUCCCCAUUUUCAUUUAAGAAUGAAAAUGACAUGUUGCAUUCAAGAUACUGCUACCUUUCUAUAAGUGGUUACUCUAAAAAUAUAACAAUUCUUUCAUGCACAUUGCUAUGAUUGCGGUAUUUGGCCAGGGAUGAAAACAAUCAUCUGAUUACUUGCAUACUUACAGUGAUAUGCAGAAGUCUGAUGGAUUAAAGGAUUUUCUGAGGCCAAAACUAAUAUCCGUAUUCUCUCAUUCUUUGUUUUUAAAUUAACUUUUGGGUUUUUGUUUUGUUUUGUUUUAAAGCAUCUGAGGAGAGAAACUGUCAAUGGCUUUAGAAAGAUUUUCCUCAAAAAACAUUUGAAUGCAUACUUUCUAACUGUCAACCAAUCUCAUCUAGAGAUAAAAUCUGAAAAGAUUUUAUAGGAUUUAAAAGGUCUGCCUAUUUUAGGCAGAUUCUUACUAUGAUUGAAACAAAUGAGGAAAAGAAUGACAAUAUUCCCAUUUCUACAACAAUCUUACUGUAUUUGUUUAUACCAAUUCCAACCUUAGUACAUUGAAUUAAGGUUAGGCAACCUUAAAAUGGAGAAUGUAAGGUCUUUGUCAUAGUUUACAGAAAAAUGUAUAUGAAAGUGAGGUAUUUCUCUUUGGUACAGAACAUGGAAGUGGAGCAUCUGAAAAAUAAAAAUUCUAAUUAAAAUUCAUAUGCAUCUUCUUUUUAGAGUAUCUUCUCUCAGCAUUGACAUACUGACAGCCUAAGACACUUAUCUGCAAUGUUCUUUUGGACUCUUUCCAGAAAUGCAUAGAGCACUGUCACCACCGGUGACCGGUGUUUCAGUGUGGCAUUACUGUUGCUUUUCACUUGGGAUUACUAAAAAGCUCCUACAGCUGAUGUACAAGGGCAAAAUUGAGGCAUUCUGGAUACUGGGGUUAUUUUUUCAAUCCGGUUGAGGAGGGUGAUUUGUAGCAACAGUGCAUAUGGCACUAAUUAAUGAGAUUUGAGUAGACUUUGGCAUAGCGUCCUGCCUAAAGAAGAAGAAGAAAAGUGGUUACAACAGAUUUGCUAUGUGCCUUUCACUGCUUCAUAUGAAAUAUUAUACGUACUCCUGAAGUUUUUAUUUUGAAUAUGGUCAUUUCUGCAAUAAUUUUAUCAGGUGCAUAGGAUAUUCAAGCAACUUUUGAAAAUUCCUUAUGUUCUGCAUUAUAAAGUCUGUUAGCCAUACUUGGCACAGACUACAAAUCUGACCCUAAUUUUCAAGCAUUUAAAGGCCCAAAAAGUGUUCUGUAACACUUUUUUUUUCUUACACUUAUUCAAGUUUGCAUUAACUAUAUAUCCAACGAAAUUGCAUUUUACUCCUUCAUUUUAGCCUUAAAUAGCAGUCACAGGAGAUUGAAUGUGGUUAAGCAUAAUGAAGCGUGAAGAUGACAAGAAAAAUGAACCAGAGGUGCCUUAUCUCCCAAUUCAUAGCAGUACAAAUUUUAUAUUCCAGACACAAAUGCCACCUUGGGAUUGAAAUCGUACUGUGUGAAUCUGUGUAAGUAUUAUUUUCCAAUUACCUUCCUGCUUUAAAUAUAGAAAAGAAAAUGAGUCCUCCUGAGUUAAGAGAUGUGUUAAUUGCAUGUGGGAUUUGUGAUGGAAAGUUCUCUCUAAAAUAAACAGUAAUAGAAGUUGGUCUUUCACAUAUUAGGAGGAAAACUUGCUUCUAGUGAGAGAAUGCUAGACUAGACUGGCACUGGUCUCUUUUAUGAGAUUAUUACUGGACUGACAUAUAUAGCACAGUAUAUUAGAAUUGUUAAUUGUAUCAUAGCAUAAUAUUUUUCUGUAGUUUUUCUGUUAAAUCCCUUAAAAACCACGUGCAGAAAAAUACUUCUAAUGUGUAUGUUAGUUUUGGCAACUGUCUGAUCUGAAUGAAAUGCUGGUGGGCUUUUAAAAGCCUGAAGAACAGAAAUCAGGCAAUGAGCCUACAUGAGCCUUUAAAAAAAAGAUAUUUACAAAGUAUUUAUCUAUUAUAAAAAAUGAAAAAAAUAGAAGUUAUCUAAAGGUCUCAAUUAAUAAACUAUGUCAGCCUCCAUGAAUUUAGUUCCCCUUCUUUGUUACAUAAAGACAGUAUUGAUUCAAAUGUUAUUAGCAGUGAUUCGUUAAUACCAGUGGGGGGCAGACUUGAACUGGAAACUAUUUUUCUGCUUUGAUUUGUUGAAAUUAAAAUACAAGAUAGUUCCUCGAGCUCAGAGCUGAUGGCAGUCUCAUCACUUCUCCAUGAUUCUAAUUACUCUUGCACUUGCUUCUUUCCAAUUGCUGUUUGACAAAAUGAGUGUUUUGCUAUGUCACAGAAAAGAAAUAGUGAAUGUUUAAAUAAAGACAAUAAUAUGAAA